CAGCACCUCAAGUGGUCAGGAUGAUUAUUGGGCCUAAAGCAUCCGUAGCCUGUUCUGUAAGUUUCCGGUUAAAUCCAUUAGCUCAACUAAUGGGCCGCCGAAAAUACUGCAGAACUAGGGAGUGGGAGAGGUAGACGGUACUCGGUAGGAAGGGGUAAAAUCCUUUGAUCUAUUGAUGACCACCUGUGGCGAAGGCGGUCUACCAGAACACGUCCGACGGUGAGGGAUGAAAGCUGGGGGAGCAAACCGGAUUAGAUACCCGCGUAGUCC
rnacentral:rRNA from 1 species